rnacentral:rRNA from 1 species
UUAUGGCUCAGGAUGAACGCUAGCGACAGGCUUAACACAUGCAAGUCGAGGGGCAGCAUAAAAGUAGCAAUACUUGGUGGCGACCGGCGCACGGGUGAGUAACGCGUAUGCAACCUACCUAUCAGAGGGGAAUAACCCGGCGAAAGUCGGACUAAUGCCGCAUAAAACAGGGGCACCGCAUGGUGAUAUUUGUUAAAGAAAUUCGCUGAUAGAUGGGCAUGCGUUCCAUUAGGUAGUUGGUGAGGUAACGGCUCACCAAGCCGACGAUGGAUAGGGGAACUGAGAGGUUGGUCCCCCACACUGGUACUGAGACACGGACCAGACUCCUACGGGAGGCAGCAGUGAGGAAUAUUGGUCAAUGGGCGGGAGCCUGAACCAGCCAAGUCGCGUGAAGGAAGAAGGAUCUAUGGUUCGUAAACUUCUUUUGCAGGGGAAUAAAGUGCAGGACGUGUCCUGUUUUGUAUGUACCCUGAGAAUAAGGAUCGGCUAACUCCGUGCCAGCCGCUGC